rnacentral:lncRNA from 1 species
GUGACGGGAGCUGCCAUACUACGUGCACCACGUGGCUAUCAUCGAGACGACGGGAGCUGCCAUACUACGUGCACCACGUGGCUAUCAUCGAGACGACGAGAGCUGCCAUACUACGUGCACCACGUGGCUAUCAUCGAGGUGACGGGAGCUGCCAUACUACGUGCACCACGUGGCUAUCAUCGAGACGACGGGAGCUGCCAUACUACGUGCACCACGUGGCUAUCAUCGAGGUGAUGGAAGCUGCCAUACUACGUGCACCACGUGGCUAUCAUCGAGGUGACGGGAGCUGCCAUACUACGUGCACCACGUGGCUAUCAUCGAGACGACGAGAGCUGCCAUACUACGUGCACCACGUGGCUAUCAUCGAGGCGACGGGAGCUGCCAUACUACGUGCACCACGUGGCUAUCACCAAGGCGACGGGAACUGCCAUAAUAUGUGCACCACGUGCAUAUCAGCGAGGCGACGGGAGCUCCCACUUCUCUGCGACAAAUCAAGAAUUCGACGGGGGGGCCUUCAAUAGGCAGCCAGCCAUCUCCGCGACGAAUCAAGAAUUCGACGUGAGUCACGUAGGCACUUGCCAAACUGGCUCCUGCCGACGAGAGGUCGCCAAAGGCACUGAAGGGAGAACCGGCCCGU